rnacentral:rRNA from 1 species
CCUACGGGUGGCUGCAGUGGGGAAUAUUGGACAAUGGGCGAAAGCCUGAUCCAGCCAUGCCGCGUGUGUGAAGAAGGCCUUCGGGUUGUAAAGCACUUUCAGUGGGGAAGAAAGCCUUGGGGCUAAUACCCUCGAGGAAGGACAUCACCCACAGAAGAAGCACCGGCUAACUCCGUGCCAGCAGCCGCAGGUAAUACGGAGGGUGCGAGCGUUAAUCGGAAUUACUGGGCGUAAAGCGCGCGUAGGCGGUCUGAUAAGCCGGUUGUGAAAGCCCCGGGCUCAACCUGGGAACGGCAUCCGGAACGGUCAGGCUAGAGUGCAGGAGAGGAAGGUAGAAUUCCCGGUGUAGCGGUGAAAUGCGUAGAGAUCGGGAGGAAUACCAGUGGCGACGGCGGCCUUCUGGACUGACACUGACGCUGGGGGGCGAAAGCGUGGGUAGCAAACAGGAUUAGAUACCCGAGUAGUC